rnacentral:rRNA from 1 species
ACGGAGAGUGCAAGCGUUGUUCGGAAUUACUGGGCGUAAAGCGCGCGUAGGCGGCUUUGUAAGUCUGAUGUGAAAGCCCGGGGCUCAACCCUGGAAGUGCAUUGGAUACUGCAGGGCUCGAGUACUGGAGGGGGAAGCGGAAUUCCGAGUGUAGAGGUGAAAUUCGUAGAUAUUCGGAGGAACACCAGUGGCGAAGGCGGCUUCCUGGACAGAUACUGACGCUGAGGUGCGAAAGCGUGGGGAGCAAACAGG